rnacentral:lncRNA from 1 species
GUUGAUUGGUAUGGGGGGAAGAACAUUUCUGGUGCCCGGAGAGUUCCCUAAAGGAUGCUUGGUAGCAUAUUUGACACUAUAUCAAACAUCAAAUAUGGAAGAAUAUGAUUCUUUCGGAUGUCUGAAAUGGCUGAACAAGUUUGGAGAAUACCACAAUGAGCAGCUUCAGGCAGAACUCAAGAGACUCGGGAAGCUCAACCCUCAUGUCAACAUCAUAUAUGCUGACUAUUACAAUACUUUGUUGCGCCUUAACCAAGAACCAUCCAAAUACGGUUAGCCUUUUUGACACCUUCACUGAAUAAACACAACCAAUUUACUGAUUAUCCUAUUAAUCGAGUGUCCUAAUCAAUCAUAUUGUCAGGGUUCAUAAACAAACCCUUGUCCGCUUGUUGCGGCGAAGGAGGACAGUACAACUUCGACUUUAGUAGACGUUGUGGGAGGGUAAUAAAGGAAUCUUGUAUUGAUCCUUCAAAGUAUGUGGCAUGGGAUGGCAUUCACAUGACAGAGGCUGCAUACAAAUUAAUGGCAGAGGGAUUACUCAAGGGACCAUAUGUGACUCCUCCUUUCAAUUGGUCAUGCCUAAGCUCCAAGAUUAAGAAUAAGAAGUCCUUAGACACACAAUCUUCUUUGAUGAACAUCUGAUACAAGCUUGUCCGAGACAUCGACAAAGAUGGGAGAUGCUCUAAAUAACCACCCACAGGCUCACAGGACACAGGUGUGUGUGGGUUAAUGUAUAAUGUUUUUCUUAAUUACAAAUGAAUGACAUAUCAAAUAUGCUUUAUAAGCAAGAAAAGAUACACACCCACUUGAGGAUGAAAGAUAUGAGUUUACUCAUUAACAAUUAUUAGUUAAUUAUAAGUUUGGCAUAGACGGAAUUGGCAAACUGUUAAUUAUGAGUUUACACGUUAACAGUUAAUAUAGAUUUUUUCAAGAGAGAGUUGUAAAAAAGCCAAAAGUGUGUACCCGUUUUAAACGAGACAAAUAUACAACCACAUAAAAAAAAAAAAGUAAAUUGUCUUGCCCCACCCUUACUUAUAAGGCAACGAGAAACGCUCAUUAUUGAGUCCAUAACUCAAGGUACACCGUACGUAUGUACGGUCUCUUGUAUUGGAUCUUGUAUCAUAUUGUACAACUAGAUUACCACACAGACGUUCACGGUCAUGAGGAUUAGUGUAUAAUGAUUUUCUUAAUCAAAUAAAUGAAAUAUACUUUGUAAGCAAAAGAAAAGGACACAAACACUUGAGGAUGAAAGAAAUGGUUAACAAAUUCUAUAUACAAAUUUUGAAGGGCACUGAUCUCCAUAGCUUGUCAUGUGGUUUGAUAUAUUAGUCUCAUGCAUUGUAUUGUAUAUAGUGGUGUUAUUUGAGAGAGUGUGGUUCAAGUAUUACUUGCUAAACCAUAUGUGAAAUCUCAAGAUCAGAGAUGUUGGAUUAGAAGGAUCAAAUAUUAUCUCAAUAAAAUGGUUCCUUUAUCACUUGUCUAGAAGAAAUGGUCAGCCUCGCGAUUAGCCAUUAUUUCCAAGAAAUUGCAUAUUUUCACUCUAGGUUUAUUAACAAAGCAUGUCUAAUUUUUCCACUGUAGAAGGAAUUGGCAUGAAUGUUAAAAUGAGUUUAAGCAUAAACAAAAAUCUAUGUCAAGGUCGAAUACCUUUCGUUUUGAUUAUGUUUAAGGGAUACAUUAUACAUAUUGUUUUUUUGAAUCUUUUUUUGGGUGUAAAUGUUAUAAGAUUCUGUGAUUUUCCUCAAUAUUAUUAUUCUCGUUCGAUGAUGAAAUCUUAAUUAAAUAAACCAAUUUUUUAUGUUAAAUGUUAAAUCAACACUAUACAUAUCUUUUCUUGUAGUGCAUGCGAUCGAUCGCAAACAUGCAUGCAAAUAAUUGGUAAAGAAUUUACCAAAUAACUCAUUAAUUGUCUGAACAACUCUAUUAGGUUACAUAAGACAAUACGUACUUAGGGAUAAACAAACUACACUCCUUUUAGGACUCAAAGUGUAGAUAUUUUCUAGAAUGAGUUGUUAAAAAGCCAAACGUGUACCCGUUUUAAACGAUGCAAAUAUACAAAAGUUUUGUAGGACAUAGAAAAGUAAAUUGUCUUUGCCCCACCCUUAUUUAUAAGGCAACAAGAAACGCUCAUUGGUCCAAUUUGUUUAUAAUGAUUCCAAAACAUGAGAUUUCGAAAAUAAGAAAAGAUAGAAAAAACACAAAGUCACUUCGGACCUCUGAUCACAUGGCGUCGCUAGAUUCUCAUUUGUUGAAGAAGUUGGUUAGCCUCUUUUUAGCUACUCUUUUUGUCACUAUGGUAAGUUCGGAUUCUCAGUGCCGGGAUUUUGAGUCGAUCAUCAGUUUUGGCGAUUCGAUUGCCGACACCGGAAACUUGCUUAGUAUCUCGGAUCCUUACAAUCUUCCUUUGAACGGUUUUACACCGUAUGGAGAAACCUUCUUCCACCAACCAACCGGUCGUUGCUCUGAUGGCCGCCUCAUCAUUGACUUCAUAGGUACAAACCCCAAAAUACUAAACAAAACCCCCCCAAACUUCUAAAUAAUAAACUUUUAAACAUCAUUUUAAUUAGGUUUGUGGUAGUUUUGGACUAAACAUUUCGUAGUUAAAUUUUCAUGAUUAGUGUACACCACAAACUUAGGGGAUGUACUAAAUUUUAAUAUUUUAGAUGAUUUAAAUUCUCAUGAGUUGUUACGAAAUCCUUUUCAAACCCACAUGAAGCGAUGAGAUUUGAAUUUUUAUAUAUUUAACUAAGCUAGCAAAUCUUCAAAUUCCUCUAAAAUUCUAUAAAAUAAUUAAAAAUCCAAAGCUUCAAAAUGUAUUCAAUAACAAUAGAUUUUAAAGUAGAAUAUUCAAAUCACUAAUUAAAUAACAUUGGAUUUCUUUACAAAUAUAUUAAAAUCUAUGAUUGAGGACAUAUGAUUUGUUACUUUUACACAAAGUUUAAAAAUGUUUGAUUGAAUAAAUGCAUCCCCUUAGUUCACACAAAUCUUUCUCGUUGUUUUUUACUUGAACCCCAGGUUAACUUUAAGUGAUGCUACAAAUUUGUUUUUUUCUUCUUUACAGCUGAAUUUUUGGGGCUUCCUCUUGUGCCUCCUUACUUUGGACCUAAAAAUGGAAACUUUCAUAAAGGAGUUAAUUUUGCAGUAGGGUCAGCAACGGCUUUGGAAAGUUCUUUUCUCGAGGAAAGAGGAUACCAUCCUCCUCAUAACAUCAGUUUAGGAGUUCAGAUUAAGAUCUUCAAAGAGAGUUUACCAAAUCUAUGUGGCUUGCCAUCAGGUAGUGAUCAAGAUCAGCUUUAGUGGAAUAAUUGUAAUGUAUUUGAACUCACAUAUAUAUGUUUUUAGAUUGUAGAGAUAUGAUUGGAAAUGCUUUGAUUCUCAUGGGAGAGAUCGGAGGGAAUGAUUAUAAUUUCCCAUUCUUCGAGCGCAAACCCCUUAAAGAGGUCAAAGAGCUUGUUCCGUUGGUGAUUAAGACUAUUUCUUCUGCAAUUACGGUAACAUGUUUCUCUCCUACUCACAAUAACGAGUAAAACAUAUUGGUUAGUUUGUCUGAAUCCAUAUAUAUAUAAUGUAUUUGUUUCCUUUGGACUGUGUUUGUUGAGUCCAGGAGUUGAUUGGUAUGGGUGGAAGAACAUUUCUGGUGCCCGGAGAGUUCCCUGUAGGAUGCUCAGUAGCAUAUCUUACAUUAUAUGAAACAUCAAACAUGGAAGAAUAUGAUUCUUUUGGAUGUCUGAAAUGGCUGAACAAGUUUGGAGAAUACCACAAUGAGCACCUUCAGGCAGAACUCAAGAGACUCGGGAAGCUCAACCCUCAUGUCAACAUCAUAUAUGCUGACUAUUACAAUACUUUGUUGCGCCUUAACCAAGAACCA